CCAGCACCCCGAGUGGUCGGGACGAUUAUUGGGCCUAAAGCAUCCGUAGCCGGUACUGCAAGUCUUCCGUUAAAUCCACCUGCUCAACAGUUGGGCUGCGGGGGAUACUACAGCGCUAGGAGGCGGGAGAGGCAUGCGGUACUUAAUGGGUAGGGGUAAAAUCCACUGAUCCAUUGAAGACCACCAGUGGCGAAGGCGGCUUGCCAGAACGCGCUCGACGGUGAGGGAUGAAAGCUGGGGGAGCAAACCGGAUUAGAUACCCGGGUAGUCCCAGCUGUAAACGAUGCAGACUCGGUGAUGGGCUGGCCUUGUGCCAACCCAGUGCCGCAGGGGAAGCCGUUAAGUCUGCCGCCUGGGGAGUACGGUCGCAAGACUG
rnacentral:rRNA from 1 species